UACGAAGGGGGCGAGCGUUGUUCGGAAUUACUGGGCGUAAAGGGCGCGCAGGCGGCGCGAGAAGUCAGGCGUGAAAGCCCCGGGCUCAACCUGGGAAUUGCGCUUGAUACUCUUGUGCUGGGAGUUCGGGAGAGGAGAGUGGAAUUCCCAGUGUAGAGGUGAAAUUCGUAGAUAUUGGGAAGAACACCGGUGGCGAAGGCGGCUCUCUGGACCGAGACUGACGCUGAGGCGCGAAAGCGUGGGGAGCGAACAGG
rnacentral:rRNA from 1 species